AAGUGUCUUCCAUACUGUGAUGGGAAGAAGAGCAUCAACCCUAAAAGCAAAGGAACAAACGGCUCCGGUGUCUGCUGUUAUUGCAGAAGCAGGUCCUGUUGACAUCGGGGAAAGAUCUGAAGACUGCAGCAGGACAUGACCACAGCUUUCCCAAAAGCUCUCAUCUACUUCGAGUCCAAGCUGGAUUCUGGAUGCUGCGAGGCUGUCGUCUCAGGAUGCUGCAAGAGAGGUUGUUGCAUCUUCUUACCUUAGAGU